AGCAAAAAAUAAUGUAAUCCGCCUCGAUGUAAUGUCGUCGAUGUAUCAAAAACUCGAUGUAAUCGCAAUUUUUUGAUGCGAAAUCACACCAUUUCGAUGCUAUAUUACAUCAUCCACGAAAUUACAUAAAAAUUCUAUACCCAAAUGCCUUUACGCCAAACCUGUGUAAUAUUUACAUCGAAAGAAUGUGAAUAUUACACAGAAAUAGGUGCAACCAAGCGGUUACAAUAUUUGAAGGGCAAAAUUACACAACUCGAUGUCAUAUCGCAUCCGUUCCCGAUGCGAUAAUAAGUCGCGCAACACUGAUGGUGUUGUGAUCGAUCAAACAACCGGUCGGCCAUCUUGCGAGUUUCAAGCAGGCGUUUGCUGCAGUUUUUCAUUGAUUUUUUCAAGGGUUUUCCGUACUAAUUUGAAUCAGGCGAAAAUGUGAAGCAUCUGAGGAUUGCAGUACAAGGCGGAGCUGGCGCCUGCUGUUUUUAGUGUCGGUGUGCCAGUGGCACCACCGCCAGCAAAUCCCUUUGCAUCGUCUAGAAAGGCGAGAACCGACGACCGAUACCUCUGCUCUAGAUGGAAUCUUCCGGGGGCAAAUUCGCCUGGAUGGCACAACAUAUAAUAUUGAGUCAGCAGGAGGCGCACCUGCAUGCUGUGGCGGAGAACCUACACAACCGGGAUAAAAACCGGACGCCGGCUACGUAUGAACCGUCGGAUGGGUAUCAGUCAGAGAGACGCAACGUGUAACACCUGUAAGAAGGGCCUGAACGAUUGUGUCGGUCGACUUGGCGCCAUCGGUGUCCCCCGUAGGGCAGUUUUGAGCGACUAUAACGAUAUGGUCAUCGUCGCUGAUGAAGGAGCUGAAUCCGGUCGAGGUGCUAGCUUUUAUUCCUUUGCUGUAACAAUGACCUCGGCGAAGUUGAAUCCGGCGGACAUGGGUUAUUGUUCCACCAGUUUACAUCCGACCAUCGGGGGCCGGCCCCACUGAGAAUGAUUUGACGAUGGAGCGAGUGAGUGGAACUUCGGCUGAUUCAAGAGGAAUGGAAUCAGUUGACCUUAACUGUACUUCAAAAGUGAGCUGCUUAAAAUUCAGUUCUCAAAAAGUCGACACGCGGCAUUAAGCAGGGUUUGAAGGGCAAAAAGGUUCGAUUCUGAUAAAAUCUGUCCGACAAGCGAGUAUUUCUCCGUCCGUAUCGUAUCCUAGGAUCCCAAUUUGAUUCAUCAGAAAAUGCGUCAGUUAAACAUGGGACGAGAAGCAUCUCAGUGCAAACUACGUCCAGCAGAAGGGAAGUGCCUAUAGAAGUAUCUGGCCUAACGAGACAAAGUUUCCCAGAGUCUGAAAUGCGGAGAUUCCUGGAACGCCA